AACCCAACGUUAAGGUUCGGGGCCCCAAAUUACCAAAUCAGGCAGAUACCAGGAAAGGCGUUGGUGGCUAAAAACCGCAGGACGGUGAUCAUGGAAGUCGAAAUCCGCUAAGGAGUGUGUAACAACUCACCUGCCGAAGCAACUAGCCCUUAAAAUGGAGGGCGCUUAAGUUGUAUACCUAUACAUUACCGCUAAAGUAGAUGAUUUAUAUUACUUGUGAUAUAAAUUUUGAAACUUUAGUGAGUAGGAAGGUACAAUGGUAUGCGUAGAAGUGUUUGGCGUAAGCCUGCAUGGAGCUGCCAUUGGUACAGAUCUUGGUGGUAGUAGCAAAUAAUCGAAUGAGACCUUGGAGGACUGAAGUGGAGAAGGGUUUCGUGUGAACAGUGGUUGAUCACGAGUUAGUCGGUCCUAAGUUCAAGGCGAAAGCCGAAAAUUUUCAAGUAAAACAAAAAUGCCUAACUAUAUAAACAAAGCGAAUAUAAUACACUUGAAUAAUUUUGAACGAAAGGGAAUACGGUUCCAAUUCCGUAACCUGUUGAGUAUCCGUUUGUUAUUAAAUAUGGGCCUCGUGCUCAUCCUGGCAACAGGAACGACCAUAAAGAAGCCGUCGAGAGAUAUCGGAAGAGUUUUCUUUUCUGUUUUAUAGCCGUACUACCAUGGAAGUCUUUCGCAGAGAGAUAUGGUAGAUGGGCUAGAAGAGCAUGACAUAUACUGUUGUGUCGAUAUUUUCUCCUCGGACCUUGAAAAUUUAUGGUGGGGACACGCAAACUUCUCAACAGGCCGUACCAAUAUCCGCAGCUGGUCUCCAAGGUGAAGAGUCUCUAGUCGAUAGAAUAAUGUAGGUAAGGGAAGUCGGCAAAUUAGAUCCGUAACUUCGGGAUAAGGAUUGGCUCUGAAGAUUGAGAUAGUCGGGCUUGAUUGGGAAACAAUAACAUGGUUUAUGUGCUCGUUCUGGGUAAAUAGAGUUUCUAGCAUUUAUGUUAGUUACUUGUUCCCCGGAUAGUUUAAAUACGUAGCCAAUUGUGGAACUUUCUUGCUAAAAUUUUUAAGAAUACUAUUUGGGUUAAACCANAUUAGUUCUUAUCAAUUAUAACGGAAUCCACC
rnacentral:ncRNA from 1 species